rnacentral:miRNA from 1 species
ACGGUGGACCGUAGAGCAUGCGUG